rnacentral:snRNA from 1 species
GUGCUUGCUCAGGCAAAGCAGCACAUACACUAAAAUUGGAAUGAUACAGAGAAGUUUAGCAUGACCCUUGUGAAAGGAUAACAUGUGAAUUUGUGAAGCGUUCUGUAUUGAA